CAUGCAAGUCGAACGAUGAUCCCAGCUUGCUGGGGGAUUAGUGGCGAACGGGUGAGUAACACGUGAGUAACCUGCCCUUGACUCUGGGAUAAGCCUGGGAAACUGGGUCUAAUACCGGAUACGACCAUUCCACGCAUGUGGUGGUGGUGGAAAGCUUUUGUGGUUUUGGAUGGACUCGCGGCCUAUCAGCUUGUUGGUGGGGUAAUGGCCUACCAAGGCGACGACGGGUAGCCGGCCUGAGAGGGUGACCGGCCACACUGGGACUGAGACACGGCCCAGACUCCUACGGGAGGCAGCAGUGGGGAAUAUUGCACAAUGGGCGCAAGCCUGAUGCAGCGACGCCGCGUGAGGGAUGACGGCCUUCGGGUUGUAAACCUCUUUCAGUAGGGAAGAAGCGAAAGUGACGGUACCUGCAGAAGAAGCGCCGGCUAACUACGUGCCAGCAGCCGCGGUAAUACGUAGGGCGCAAGCGUUAUCCGGAAUUAUUGGGCGUAAAGAGCUCGUAGGCGGUUUGUCGCGUCUGCUGUGAAAGACCGGGGCUCAACUCCGGUUCUGCAGUGGGUACGGGCAGACUAGAGUGCAGUAGGGGAGACUGGAAUUCCUGGUGUAGCGGUGAAAUGCGCAGAUAUCAGGAGGAACACCGAUGGCGAAGGCAGGUCUCUGGGCUGUAACUGACGCUGAGGAGCGAAAGCAUGGGGAGCGAACAGGAUUAGAUACCCUGGUAGUCCAUGCCGUAAACGUUGGGCACUAGGUGUGGGGGACAUUCCACGUUUUCCGCGCCGUAGCUAACGCAUUAAGUGCCCCGCCUGGGGAGUA
rnacentral:rRNA from 1 species